rnacentral:rRNA from 1 species
AACGAACGCUGGCGGCAUGCCUAACACAUGCAAGUCGAACGAUCCCUUCGGGGAUAGUGGCGCACGGGUGCGUAACGCGUGGGAACCUGCCCUUAGGUUCGGAAUAACUCAGAGAAAUUUGAGCUAAUACCGGAUAAUGUCUUCGGACCAAAGAUUUAUCGCCUUUGGAUGGGCCCGCGUUGGAUUAGCUAGUUGGUGGGGUAAAGGCCUACCAAGGCGACGAUCCAUAGCUGGUCUGAGAGGAUGAUCAGCCACACUGGGACUGAGACACGGCCCAGACUCCUACGGGAGGCAGCAAUGGGGAAUAUUGGACAAUGGGCGAAAGCCUGAUCCAGCAAUGCCGCGUGAGUGAUGAAGGCCUUAGGGUUGUAAAGCUCUUUUACCCGGGAUGAUAAUGACAGUACCGGGAGAAUAAGCCCCGGCUAACUCCGUG